UUGUAAACAAGGCUACCAUUGCACAGUUGAAAUAAUAUUCCUAUUUGCAGGCAGAGUUUUGAAGAUAAUGAGGGAAACUGGCCGUUUGUCAUUGGAUUAUCUUGUGCUGGACUAUUUGUUAUGAUUACGGCUGUAGUAAUUGUGAGACACCUGUUGAGAAAACAUAAAAUGAAGGAAGUUGACACUAAAGGUCUGGCUUCGGUUACACCCUCAAAUUGAAACCUCGUAAAUCGGAUCUUCUCACAGAACCAGCGAUGUUUAGACAAAGUGAAAGCGAAUUUGGGUACAACGAACAGUCUGAUGCACCAAAUGAGACACCAACAUACGGUAUUGUUGACAACGACGACAUCA